rnacentral:rRNA from 1 species
UACGUAGGUGGCAAGCGUUAUCCGGAUUUACUGGGUGUAAAGGGCGAGUAGGCGGGAUUGCAAGUCAGAUGUGAAAACUAUGGGCUCAACCGAUAGAGUGCAUUUGAAACUGCAGUUCUUGAGUGAUGGAGAGGCAGGCGGAAUUCCCGGUGUAGCGGUGGAAUGCGUAGAUAUCGGGAGGAACACCAGUGGCGAAGGCGGCCUGCUGGACAUUAACUGACGCUGAGGCGCGAAAGCGUGGGGAGCAAACA